AUCCGGGUUGAGGUAGUAGGUUGUAUGGUUUAGAGUUACACCCAGGAGUUAACUGUACAACCUUCUAGCUUUCCUUGGA
ensembl:miRNA